rnacentral:lncRNA from 1 species
GGACCAGCGGGGCUGGGGAAGGGGACCAGCAUUUGCUGAUCACCUACUGGGUGCUUAACACUCUGCGAAGGACCCUCUGAGGAGGGGGUUGCUAGCAUGCGAAUCUCUGUGUAGACCAGGAGAGGGCUCUUGCGGUGGGGAACUUUGAGUGGCCCUCUCUGGAUGUCUGGGAGCUCCGAGGGUCCCCCUUGUAGCCUGUAUCCCCCAAGGUGAAGGGGCCGCUGGACAAAGACCUGACGGAGUGGGAGGGGCCUGCUGGCCGGCCCUCGGGCUCCGGACGCUGGAUCCUUCUGGGACCUGAACCCGCAAACCCCGGCUCCCCACCCCCAGGCCCGCAGACGCC